GUGGACCUAAGAAAAUCUACAUUCAGGUAUGUUUUCUUCUUACUGGAGGAGCAAUAUUAUGGAAACUAGAAAACAAUCUAUAAUUCCUACUUAUACUAUGGAAGCUGAAUUUUGGCAUGCUUUGAGGCCACAAUUCUAUCAUUGUGGGUGCGGAAAUCUACCUUAGGGCUUGGUAUUAUCGACAAAGUCGUUAGGCUGUUAAGGAUUUAUUAUGAUAAUC
rnacentral:lncRNA from 1 species